AACCCACCCCCCAUAAGUAUAACGCUUAAGCGUGAAACUGCGUACGGCUCAUUACAACAGCAAUAAUUUACUUGAUCUUGACAACCUACAUGGAUAACUGUGGUAAUUCUAGAGCUAAUACAUGCACCAAAGCUCCGACCCGCGAGGGGAGAGCGCAUUUAUUAGAACAAAACCAAGCGGCUUCGGCCGUCCAUUGUUGACUCAGAAUAACUAAGCUGAUCGUACGGUCUUGUACCGACGACGUGUCUUUCAAGUUUCUGCCUUAUCAACUUUCGAUGGUAGUGUAUCUGACUACCAUGGUGGUGACGGGUAACGGAGGAUAAGGGUUCGACUCCGGAGAAGGGGCCUGAGAAAUGGCCACUACGUCUAAGGAUGGCAGCAGGCGCGCAAAUUACCCACUCUCAAUGCGAGGAGGUAGUGACGAGAAAUAACGAGGCCGUUCUCUUUGAGGCCGGUCAUCGGAAUGGGUACAAUUUAAACCCUUUAACGAGUAUCUAUGAGAGGGCAAGUCUGGUGCCAGCAGCCGCGGUAAUUCCAGCUCUCAAAAUGCAUAGAAUUAUUGCUGCGGUUAAAAAGCUCGUAGUUGGAUCUGUGCCUGUGCUCUGGUCCACCUCGCGGUGCGCACUGGGUGUCACAGGCUUUCCUGCAGUGUUCAGCCCCGGCGCCUUCACCGGCACCGGUGUGUUGAUGCUGCAAGUUUACUUUGAACAAAUCGGAGUGCUCCAAACAGGCGUUUGCUUGAACGUUCGUGCAUGGAAUAAUAGAAGAGGAUUUCGGUUCAAUUUUAUUGGUUUUAUUGGCCGAGAUAAUGGUUAACAGAGACAAACGGGGGCAUUUGUAUUGCUGCGUGAGAGGUGAAAUUCUUGGACCGUAGCAAGACAAACUACCGCGAAAGCAUUUGCCAAGAAUGUCUUCAUUAAUCAAGAACGAAAGUCAGAGGUUCGAAGCAUCAACCGCUCUU
rnacentral:rRNA from 1 species